rnacentral:rRNA from 1 species
UACAGAGGUCUCAAGCGUUGUUCGGAUUCAUUGGGCGUAAAGGGUGCGUAGGUGGCGCGCUAAGUCAGGUGUGAAAUUUCGGAGCUUAACUCCGAAACUGCAUUUGAUACUGGCAUGCUUGAGGACUGGAGAGGAGACUGGAAUUCACGGUGUAGCAGUGAAAUGCGUAGAGAUCGUGAGGAGACCAGUGGCGAAGGCGGGUCUCUGGACAGUUCCUGACACUGAGGCACGAAGGCCAGGGGAGCAAACGGG